rnacentral:rRNA from 1 species
UACGUAGGGUGCGAGCGUUAAUCGGAAUUACUGGGCGUAAAGCGUGCGCAGGCGGUUCGUUGUGUCGGUGGUGAAAGCCCCGGGCUCAACCUGGGAAUGGCCAUGGAAACUGGCGAACUGGAGUGUGGCAGAGGGGGGUGGAAUUCCGCGUGUAGCAGUGAAAUGCGUAGAGAUGCGGAGGAACACCGAUGGCGAAGGCAGCCCCCUGGGCUAGCACUGACGCUCAGGCACGAAAGCGUGGGGAGCAAACGGG